rnacentral:tRNA from 4 species
GGCUUCGUAGCUCAAACGGCGGAGCAUGCAUGGUUGGUGGUUCGAAUCCACCCGGAGCCA